AUGUGUCUGACACAGAAGUAGCCCCAACUUGACCCCACCAUGCCCGUCAGAAACAAAGCUUUCACAUUUAUUUCUUUUUCACAAAUGAGCACACGAUUCUUAACCUUUGACUGUCUAAACUAAAUAUAAAUGAAAUGAUAUGAAACAUUCUGUUAUUAACGUCCAUUAUCAAAGUCAAACUCUAUGUAGAAAUAUAGGACUGGCAGUAGCAGCACUGCAGCAGCAACACUGUCUGUGUGGACACUGCAGGUGUGUGAGACGCAGCAGUUCAGUGAUGCACACACACUGUUCAGGUAAAGGUAGGCUGUGUGUUCCAGGAGUUAGAGGCACCACACUGAGGAGGGGGUUGCUUCUGUCUCCCCAACUCAGGCAGCCUGCUUGGCAGCAGGUGUUCUCUCCUCUACUCAUCUGCACUGUGCCUGAGUUUCUUCUCCAGAAAUGUUGCAUAAGGUUCAUGGUCCCGGAAGGUUUCAUCACCGAAGGAUGGCAUCCACUCUCCAGGAGACCAGGUAAAGGUGAGUAAUUUAUUAUUACAUCAUUAUCAUUUGUGUCAAACAAAAGGCCACUAAACACAGCUCCC